UUCGUCUCCUGGCCUGGCUUAUUUCGUUUCGGCGCUGCUGAGACCUCCUUUCGCGGAAUAUUACUCAAUGACAGUGUGCGAAGAAGGCGAGUUCACCUUCUUGACGAAAAUCGUGGACUAACAGUUUGAAGUCAUUGAACUACUUCCAAAAGUUGUAUCGACAUCAACAGGAUUACGAUUUCAGUGCAAUAUGAUGCUGGAUGACCUUAUCACGAUAACCCAUGAUUAUAAACCAUAAUAAACACAGAAUCAACAAAAACAUCUGCGACACGCACCGCAUGGCUACAUUUCUCAAAUAAAUCUGAUCGAGGGUGGGGAAAUCUGAACUAUCUGAAAGGCAAGACAAAUUUAUGAGUCAUGAAAUUC